rnacentral:rRNA from 1 species
CCUCAGUAACGGCGAGUGAACGGGGAUGAGCCCAGCGCUAAAUCUCGUCGCUCUAACGGGUGCCGAGAGGUGUAGCGUAUAGUAGGUGAUUUUCCUUGUGGGCCGUCGACUUAAAUUCUCCUUGACUGGGGUUCCGUAGAAGGUGAAAGGCCUGUUCAGUCGAUGGCCCGCGUGGAUUCCACACUACUCGGAGUCGGGUUGUUUGGGAACGCAGCCCAAAUUUGGUGGUAAACUUCAUCUAAGGCUAAAUACGGCCACGAAACCGAUAGCAAACAAGUACCGUGAGGGAAAGUUGAAAAGUACUUUGAAGAGAGAGUUCAAGAGGACGUGAAACCGGUAGGAUGGAAACGGAUAGAGCCAACGAACAAGCCCGUAUUCAGCUAGUCGGCUGCGCCCUGUGUGCGGUCGGCUAGUGCAUUUGCGGGUGAUGUGUGCUGAGGCGUGUGGUGGUGYGCUGCAAACUGCGCGGAGAGGCCUCGUCUUCACGGACUUGGAACCUACGCGUUGGGAGUAGGGUCGCUGCUGCACGUAGUCNAUCGGACUAGGUGAAUUCGCGCUGUUGGGUCGUCAGGCUAKCUGCUUGGUCGGUCGCAUGCGACUAGGCCUUGUUGGUUGGUUUCGGCGGCACGCCAGUGCCCUGGUCGCGCCUCGGUGUAAAAGUUGGUUAUCUCUCCGACCCGUCUUGAAACACGGACCAAGGAGUCUAGCGUAUGCGCGAGUCAUUGAGUGGAAAACUCAUAGGCGCAAUGAAAGUGAAGGUCUCCUCGCGGGACUCAUAUGCGAUCUGUUGUGUUGCGGCACGGCAGAGCAGCAUAGCCCCGUCUCGACUGCUUGCAGUGGGGCGGCGGAUGAGCGUGUGCGCUGGUACCCGAAAGAUGGUGAACUAUGCCUGAGCAGGAUGAAGCCAGGGGAAACCCUGGUGGAGGUCCGAAGCGCUUCUGACGUGCAAAUCGAUCGUCUGACUUGGGUAUAGGGGCGAAAGACUAAUCGA